UAGAGUUUGAUCCUGGCUCAGAACGAACGCUGGCGGCGUGGAUAAGACAUGCAAGCCGGACGCUAAUCGUCGGGUAGCAAUAUUCGGCGGUUGGAGUGGCGUAAGGGUGCGUAACACGUGGGUAAUCUGCCGUGAAGUUGGGGAUAACUCGCUGAAAGGCGAGCUAAUACCGAAUGUGGAUCUUGGGAGGCAUCUUUCGAGAUCUGAAGUUGGGGACCGUAAGGCCUGACGCUUCACGAUGAGCCCGCGGCCUAUCAGCUAGUUGGUGAGGUAACAGCUCACCAAGGCUAAGACGGGUAGCUGGUCUGAGAGGACGACCAGCCACACUGGAACUGAGACACGGCCCAGACACCUACGGGUGGCAGCAGUCGAGAAUUUUUGACAAUGGGGGAAACCCUGAUCGAGCGACGCCGCGUGGAGGAUGAAGGUC
rnacentral:rRNA from 1 species